AUAGUUGGAUGAAGCAAAUAUUUCACGGUAACUCCUAUCUAUUGGAACGCCAAUUUGCACCAAUCACAGCCUGUAGUUUAUGAUCUACAGUCUGUUCAACCAAUUACAAUUGAGCCCGCCUAAACAGGCAGAUUUUAAGAUAAGUAUCCGCAGUUUCGGUUGACGUGUGAAGUGGUACGUUCAGCGUUUGUCUGUUGUGGUGUUGUCUGCCUCGUAUUAAAGUUUGAUAUGGCAUAAUGUGGCACAGUAUAACAGGAGGAUACACCUAAAACAGUCGCUCAUGAGGGAUUGUUUGUAUGUCAAAACUCCAAUAAGUCAAAACGCGACGUACGUUUGCGGCCAAAGGCUUUGUGAGGAUACUAGUAUGCUAGAACUAGCUAGUGUGCUAGUAGGCUGCCAAAUAAUGUAAAAUGACCGCCAGGGACAGCUAUUGAAGUGUCCACCUACAGCAGCACAGAAGGAGAUCUGGCUGAAGAAGAGAGGCUUCCCUGUUUGGAGUCUCAAGAGUCAAGGAGAGCAGCAAAAACUGUUGACAGCAGUGUUUGAAGUAAAUGAGAAAGCUGAACCCUUCCAGAGCUUCUCAAAGGCGGCAAGAGUGCAAGAUGGGCAAGAAGGACGAUGAUGAUGGGACUGACCUUCUGAUCAGGUUGGGAGAGUCCCCAGGGCAAACCCAGGAAGGACUACACUUCCCACCUGUCCUGGGAGUGUCUGAGGAUUUCCCCCAAGAGGAACUGGAGGAAGUCUUGGAGAAAAGGACAUGAGAUGCUCUGGUUGCCACAUACUGUUAGCAGCUAGGAGAUGGAUGGGUCAUGCCUCUCUUGUUAAGCUUUAUAUUGUAGAUGACUGGCACUGACCAAUUUUAAAUGUUAGAUUUUCACCUGCAUUUCUACACCUGUGUACAGGGUUAUGAUCAGUUUGGUAAGGCAACUGUACAAAUUUCAAUCAGCCCACUGAGGCCACGAAAUUAGAGCUAUGUUAGAGCUGAAAACAGCACCUCUGUUUGAAAGCGAUAAAUAAGAAGCAGCAGGGGCCAUUCUGAUAACCUUUUCGAUAACACUAAUGUAAUUAUUAUUACAUUUUGCUGUCUGCAUGUUUGCCUAAUUCUGUUUAUGCCUGAAAUUCAAUUCCAGCUUAAUAAAACCAUCAAUUUCUUUUGGUUACUUCACCAAUAUAACUUAGAGUAAUGAACUCAUUUUGCUGUUGUAUGGAAAUUUUGUCUCAUUACAAUAAUUUUGCCUGAUUCACUCGGCAGCCGAUAUUAAGAGUAAGGCCCUACAGUCAUAGACUGGGUUAUUAUGCUAUACAUCACAAAGUG